GCCAUCAAUGGGACUGAUAACAGGAAGAUGGGAAUAUUUUGGAAUUUAUCGUCUCUGAAUCACCCUUACUUGUAACAGCAGAAAAUCAACAAAUCAAUCAGUUUGACUGUGAUGUAACUGAUGCUCUGCAUUUUGAGUACGGGUUUGAAAAUGCAGAUCAGGAGUCUGAUUCUGAGAGCUAGAUGCUUCACUUGAGGCAGAACCUUGAAACAAAGCAGUGCAUGCACAGGGCAAGAGCUUUAAGCUACAGGAGAACGACUUGGGAGAUGGUUUUCUAUGAUUCUACGAAUCUAUGGUCUGAGUGUAUUAAUCCCAAUGAGUCAGAGCUACUGUGAACUCCCACUCCUGAGAGAGCUACAGUCAGAAAAUGUUACCAGACCAAACGGUAGUGCCUAAUUCUGUUUCACAUUCUAAAAGCAUAGCUUU
rnacentral:lncRNA from 1 species